rnacentral:sRNA from 1 species
AAAAUAAAAAUAACCUUUUUGUAAAUGGGGGGAAAUGUUUCUUCUGCCUCUGGGAGAGAGACUCUUGCCUGGCUAAUGUGUACCCCACAUUCUUUAAAGGGUUUGGGCUUGCGAUGGCCAGAUACUCAAAGUGACUAGUCAGACUUAAGACUAUUAUGUAAUUUUAAUCAUGGAAUUUAUUUUUACUUUAAAGCAAGAUGGAAAGUUGCCUUUUGUUCCUCCGGAGGAAGAAUUUAUUAUGGGAGUUUCCAAGUAUGGCAUAAAAGUAUCAACAUCAGAUCAAUAUGAACAAGCACAAGCCAUUUGCAAGGUUUUAUCCACCGCUUUUGACUCUGUAUUAACAUCUGAGAAACCCUGAAUCCUGCAAUCAAGUAGAAG